UAUUGCUUUCCUACAUGUAAUGAAAAAAGUAAGCCAAAAGCAGAGUCUUAGCAGUAGACGAAGACCUUCUUUCUUUAUUCUGGAUAGUCUGGAAAACAAAUCCCAGGCUGAAGUGCAGACUUGCACGAUCAGUGCCUCACUAACUGCAGCCCUACAGCUUCAGGAGACUCAUUGCUGCUGAUAAAUCAUUUCUAACUGACUCAUAUUCCAUCCAGACACACCAUGGUUGUACUCUAGAAGCCCACUCUGUAGUACAUGUAGUGGUGGUGGAAGCUCCUUGCCUGUGGUGGCUUAAAAUAUUUGGAGGGGAUUUUGUGGAAAAGGGAGAAGAUGAUGUACACACAUUUUCUCAAAGACAAUGCUGAGUGAUGUUUCCAUCUGCUCUUCUCCCGGACAGGACUUCAAUGAAGAUCCAACGGACUGCUGGGAGCAGCAGUUUCUCUUAAGGUACUUCCUUUCCUUGCAGAUGCCUGCCUAGAUUCCUACUUAUAAUGGAGAACUGGAAGAAGAGAGGCUGUGCAGUGCAUGUGACAGAAAAGAAAGCACUGGAUAAAAGGCGCUUACUGUUCCAGUAUGAAUAGUACAAGACAGUGUUAGGAAGAUAUUUGCUUAGAUUACUAGAAAUGAUAAAAGACUUUCCAUUAAAAAACGAUGAGGAAAAACUGUGCAUACCCUAGGAGAAAGGAAAGAAACGGCAGGGAUAGCAUCAUGCUAUGUAGCAACCUGCCACCAGCUUAGAAAUGGACAAUAAUGACAAAUGGACACAGGGGAUAAAACCCCAAACACACUGUGAAGAGUUAUCUUGGGCAGAUGCACAAUGUGUUGUAUCUAUUGCUGACAGUUACCCAAGGUUUCUGCUUUUUCUACACAUUGACAGUGUUUGCAUUGUAUGGCAUGCCAAUAAAAUAUUUUGAUUUGAA